CCUACGGGUGACAGCAGUGGGGAAUUUUGCGCAAUGCUCGUAAGAGUGACGCAGCGACGCCGCGUGAAUGACGAAGGCCUUCGGGUCGUAAAGUUCUUUCGACAGGGAAGAAAAUGCAUAUAAGUAACUGUGUAUGUAUUGACGGUACCUGUAUAAGCAGCCCCGGCUAACUCCGUGCCAGCAGCCGCGGUAAGACGGAGGGGGCGAGCGUUGUUCGGAGGGACUGGGCGUAAAGAGCACGUAGGCGGUGUUGUAAGUCAUUAGUCAAAGACUAGAGCUCAACUUUAGUAAGGCUAGUGAUACUAUAAUACUAGAGUAUCAGAGAGGAUUGCAGAAUUCCUGGUGUAGCGGUGAAAUGCGUAGAUAUCAGGAGGAAUACCGUUAGCGAAGGCGGCAAUCUGGCUGGAAACUGACGCUGAGGUGCGAAAGCGUGGGUAGCAAACAGGAUUAGAUACCCCUGUAGUC
rnacentral:rRNA from 1 species